rfam:Paenibacillus sp. Soil787 contig_14, whole genome shotgun sequence.
UCAAACGCAACGAACGGGAUUAGUAAGGAACAGCAGUUUCGCUCAGAGAGCUGUGCGCUUGGUGAAAGCACAGACGAAACGGUACCUGAACUCGCCCGGGAGCGGUAAGGCUGAUAAGGAUGCCAAGGAUCCAGCACCCAAGUAGGUCUUGACGGUUGACCCCCGUGAUCAGGUACAUGAGUGGUUUCGAGUGUAACAGCUCGGAUCAAUUAGAGUGGUACCGCGGAAGGUUCAAGCCUGUCGUCUCUUUU